rnacentral:rRNA from 1 species
GAGUUUGAUCAUGGCUCAGGACGAACGCUGGCGGCGUGCUUAACACAUGCAAGUCGAACGGUAAGGCUCCAGCUUGCUGGGGUACACGAGUGGCGAACGGGUGAGUAACACGUGGGUGACCUGCCCUGCACUUCGGGAUAAGCCUGGGAAACUGGGUCUAAUACCGGAUAGGACCGCACCGUGAGGGUGUGGUGGAAAGUUUUUUCGGUGUGGGAUGGGCCCGCGGCCUAUCAGCUUGUUGGUGGGGUAAUGGCCUACCAAGGCGGCGACGGGUAGCCGGCCUGAGAGGGUGGACGGCCACAUUGGGACUGAGACACGGCCCAGACUCCUACGGGAGGCAGCAGUGGGGAAUAUUGCACAAUGGGCGGAAGCCUGAUGCAGCGACGCCGCGU